ACUUGCAGGAGUGGAUGAUGUUUUGGAAGACUUCAUCACAACUGUUUCGCAGUCUGGUCUGGUGCUGCGGCAGCUCUGGGGCCGGGCACUUGCUGGGGUCCACCUCACAGUCCUCACUGGAGGCACAGAGACGCUGCACGACCUGCCCUGCAGUUCAGCACAGCCAGACAAGAGGCCAGGGCCGUGACCACCACAACCCACCACACUCAGCCUCCAACUCUGUCUCCACCUUCCUCCGGAGACACCUAACAUCUCUGGGGGAGCCCCCAGUUGCCUCCAGGAUUCCAGCACCCCCAAAGCGUCUCUUGGAGGUAAUCCUGUGCCACCAGCUUCAUGUACUCAUCAAUGGCCUUGGUGGCCAAUGUGUUUUCCCGGAAUAGCAGCGCCUCACGGCCUCCACUGCGUGCCAGCUCUGCGGUGCCCAGGGGCUGGUAACAGACGGAAGCUGAGGAGGGUCUCGAAGUUUUUGCAAAGGUGUUGGCCGGCAGCCGCUUGAGCAAUCCCUGUGGGAAGGGGGAUAUCAGCUGGACAGAACCCUGUUCUCCCUCCUCAACUUCUUUCCCCCCAGGGUGUCCUGGGUCGUCUGCUGGUUUGGGGAGACCGCAA